rnacentral:rRNA from 1 species
AUUCCAGCUCCAAUAGCGUAUAUUAAAGUUGUUGCGGUUAAAAAGCUCGUAGUUGGAUUUCUGCCGAGGACGACCGGUCCGCCCUCUGGGUGAGCAUCUGGCUCGGCCUGGGCAUCCUCUUGGAGAACGUAGCUGCACUUGACUGUGUGGGGCGGUAUCCAGGACUUUUACUUUGAGGAAAUUAGAGUGUUUCAAGCAGGCAUACGCCUUGAAUACAUUAGCAUGGAAUAAUAAGAUAGGACCUCGGUCCUAUUUUGUUGGUUUCUAGGACCGAAGUAAUGAUUAAUAGGGACGGUUGGGGGCAUUAGUAUUUAAUUGUCAGAGGUGAAAUUCUUGGAUUUAUGAAAGACUAACUACUGCGAAAGCAUUUGCCAAGGAUGUUUUCAUCA